UUUUUUUUUAAUAAUUCAUAAAUAAAGUAAUACCUAUUUCAUCAUUACUCUCCUUGAACCUCCUAUAUGCCUCUACUAUAUGUUCUGUUCAAGUCAAAAGACAUAUGCACCACUUCCUGCUAGUUGUAGUACACUUUCAAAAUCAUACAUUAAAGAAGAUGAGUUAGGAAGAAAAAACUUAUAAAAAAGAAUGUAGAUGUGUGCAGCAAUUAUCAGUUUACCAUUGUGGGCAAUUUGGAUUUCAUUGCCGUGGAUCUAUGAUGUUAUAGAAACAAGUGUAAGAAUUUGGUAGAAAGUAUUACUUACUCAAGUAUUCAUGGAGUAAUUUGGUACUGAAACUUUUAUGAAACUGGUGAAGAAUUACUGUAGAUUUUAUUGUGAGGAGAACCUUUGAUAAUGUUGAAGAUGCCGUGUCUUUAAAAGUCAACUGAGGAGCAGUAAAAUUUGGUGUAAUUGAGAAACAGUUGCCUAGUGCAUUACAAGAUCAGAUGUGCUAUUUUGCAGAAAUUGAUGUGAAGACAAGAGAAAAAAAAAAGAGGAAAAAAAGACAAGAGAAUCACUAUAUGGCUCAUUACAAGUAAAUUUGAUUCUGUUCAAACAACCCUGACUACAGAGACAUUUGAAUCAGCAAAAUGAGAGUCUUAGGAAAGGACUGGUAUAUCUCUGUCUUGCUGGACUGUCCUAGCUCUUCAUCCCUGUAGUAGUAAUCAGUUGAAAAGCCUCAUUCAUAUUUAACAUCUUCUUAUUACAGAUGAUAUUUGUGCUAAAAAUCUGAAAGUCCUAUUUCUAAAGCAGAAGCAGAAUAAGGCGUGAUAUCCUUAUCCUACCAAGCAAAAAAAAAAAGCACCCUGUGAGCAAAUCCUUACAUGAUAUUCUACUGUAGCAAGAAGGAAAUUUAUGUAUAUUUUUUGUUCUGUCCAUCCCCCUAUUUUUUGCACAACACAAAGCUAUGUUGGUUUCACUCUAUUAUAAUGAUAAAAUCAGUGUUAGCUUUUAAUUUCACUCAUUCAAAAAAAAAAAAAUUUGAGUCGAGUAAAAUGUCAGGUUUUUUUCAAAUGGAAGCACGUUUUUCUCUCUCUGUUUAGGGGGCUAACUGUGCAAGAAAGUCCAUGGGAGGAGAUUCCUAACCUAGCUAUCAAAACCAAUACUGACAGGCUAUAACUUCUAAUCAAAGACUGACCUCACUGAGUGUGUAUAGGGCUCUAGGGAAAAUCUUGGGAACUAGAGACUGGUGAGACUGACUUCCAUCCCUUGAAAGAUGACAGUCUAUAAUAAACAAUAAAAUCAUACAGUACAUGAACUAUAUUUUCUGUUGGGCAGCACGGCUUCUGCAAAGGGAAAACCACCUCAAAAAUCCGCUGAAGUUUUAGCAGGGGAACUGUAAAUGCAUGGAUGAAAGGCAAGGAAUAUUAAAGACAAGAGACUAUUCAAGUCAAUAGGGAUUGGUUCUGGAAGCAAUUUUAUUCAACAUCUUUGUCCAUGACCUGGAGAAAAAAUAAGCAGAGGAAUAUUCAAGUCUGUAGAUAUGAUAACUAUUUUUCUGGGGCUGUUGACAGAUCUCAUAAAAGUGUACAAAUGGCUGACAAAUAAACUCCAAUGUGGAUAAACCUAAACUAAUGCAAGUAAGUAAAAAACCCAAUGAACCUGGAGAUUCAUAAAGCUGAACAUGAAACUGGCAGUUAUAGUUCAGGUAAGAAAUCUUGGUUUCAUGUUUUCAGAGUCUGAAAUCUUUGACUCAAUGUGCAGUGGCUGCUGAAAAAGCCAGUGAGAUUCUGGGCACAAUCAUGAAGAUAUGGAUAGCAAAAUAGGAUACAUAUUUUUGCAUCUAAAAGGUGUUGUGCACCCACAUCUUGAGCAGGUUUGGAUACUUUUCUGACUUACACACCCCAAGACAGAGCUACUGUAGUUAAAGAAGGUGAAAAAAAGCGCAAGUGUUGUGAUCAGGGUGAUGAUGUGGCUGCCUCUUGAGGGGAAAUUGAAAGAUGGACAAUUCAGAAAUCUGAGGUGUGGUACCAUAAAGAUUUUCUAAAGGUGAAAGCACUGGGUGAGCUGAAUGUCGAAAUGUUGUUCAACACAUCAUGCAAUAAAAGAAGCGAGGAAAUAAGGAAAGUAGAGUUGGGAGUUUUUAAACUGAAAAAAGUAAAACUUCUUUAUGCAGUAAGUGGUGAACCUCUGUAAUUUGCUACCACAGGAGAUUAUGUAGAAAGACAUUAUUGGUUUAGAAAGGGACUAGUUGUUCACAAACAGUAUGUCUGUAAAACAGAGACCAAUAGGAUGAGCUGUGGGACUACAAAACGAAUAGUUUUCAGAUAGAGAAUGGUUUUACUUGCUUGCCUUAAAUAGGAUCUCUGCUGGAGACUGAACACUGGGAGUGAUGAAAAAUUGGCCAUUUCUUAUUUUUCUUACUUUUACACAUCUGUGUACUAGUUUGAUAGUAGAUAUGAUGUCCAUGGUCUGUUCCAUGGCAGGCCCUACACCUGCCAGUUCUGAAAAAAAGCCAGUAAGCAAUGGCUGAUUAAGAUUUUACUCCAAGUUCAAUAGCUAUAGUGAAAAUUAGGGAAUGCAAAGCCAAGCUCAGCACCAUGCUAAAACAUCUGCUUAGUGAGGGCUAAUUGUGAUCACAUAGAAAAUAUUUCAUGGUUAUAUGCCCCUAAAAUAUUAUAACUCCAAGGACUUUCAAUCACCUGUGACGCUGAAUCAAAUCACCUGUUUCCACAAACACAUUAUUAUCCAAGGCAGGAGUAAGUUGAAGGAACUUGGUUUUCUGGGACUUUGGAAGCAGUUGAUGUGUUCCAUUCUGUCUGGGGAUAUAUUUUGUGAAACCUUAGCUCAUUAUUUAUCUUCUGGAUAUUUUAUACUCCAGGUGGGCCAGUGUCAUGAAUAUUUCAAAAGAGGCUUUAUUUAUCACUAUGAGCAUAAUAUAAGAAGAAAAAAAAUGGCAGUUCGCAGAGGCAGCUGCUUCUUCUGCUCCAAGAGUUUGGGAUGUAGAUGUCAUUUUUAUAAACCUAGUCAGCAAGGGCACUGGAGUCUAAAUGAUGCUGACGGAUGCUAUGAGAGUAGUUUGUCCUUUGUGAAGACGUUUUAUCAUAGCACUCAUAAUUGGAAGAGUAAGCAUAUAGAUCCAAAGCACAGAUCCACCGGGGAAGUCCUGAUCAUACUGUGAGAAAUGUCUUCUUUCUAAAAAGAGGGUAGAAGUUAUGACCUAUUUUUGGUGCCCAGCACACGACUGGGAGUGAGAAAUGGGUAAAAUUAUAACCUCAUCUAAGGCUUUGUGAGUCUUGGAAGGAGUGACCCACAUCUUUAUUCCAUUGCAGGUGUGGAAAAGAGCCUGACUGGGAUCUGCAGAGCAAUUGACACAGUACUUUAGGAUCUAUUAAAGAAAUGCUCUGAGCUUGUGCUAGCCAAUCUACAGGUAAAUUCAUUACCCUUUUCUUUAAGAGGAAACUUAAUUUUAGGCUGCUCUUAAAGAUUUAGACUGGUCACUGUGCUCCCUCUGUGCCUUGCAUCUGUCUCUCCAGUAAUGUAAGCCUCAUUCACCUGGUACAUAUACCAGCACCACACCUAAGGAAGGAGAAUACUGGAAAGCCUCUUGUGGUCCCCAGUCAUUAAAAGGUGUGUAUGAAAAUGCAUUUGUAAAAUUAUGGGUUCUACAUUUCUUCCCGAGAAGAUAGAAAAACAAAACCAAAACCAAAACAAAUCACCUUAAACAAAGGUAUAAAGGGCCAUUAAUAAAACAAUAUUUUAGCUUUGCCAUAGAACGUGGUGGCUUCUCUUAACAAAAAACAAAAAUAGUGUUGUGCAGGUAAAUAGCAAAAGGCAUUUUAUAUGAUAUUCCACAUGCAGCUUAUGAAUAUUUUUUUGGAAUGGCCUGAAAUGGAGAGAGUUUAAAAGGAAUUUAGGGGACUAUCUUGCUACGUGCUUCUGCUUUUCAUAGUUCAGAUUGGGAGGCACACCAGACUGUUAGGUAUGCUGAUUGGAUGAACCAGAGUUGUAUCAAGAAACACCUUCAGCUCCAGCAUAGCAUGUUGUUAAAUCUACAGUGAAGAUAAAGCUUUCUAUGCACACCACAAUGCUCAUCAAUAGACAGCACUAAUACUUACAGUAGAAGAUAUUUUUAAACUGGCCACGUUUUGAUGCCUCCUCUCUCAUAUUCAUUCCUCGGAACCUCAAUAAUGAUCUGUGAGAACUCCUUUAAAACCCACCAGGCAUAAGAUCAUUUGCAACAGAGUUCAUCAGCAAAAGUAUUCUGUCAUAAAUAGAUAACUUCUGAGUCCCAUUUUUGAUGUACGAUUUCUGAGAUUGCCUCAGCAUGCAAUGAUGAUAAACAUGCAAGAAAAAGAUGUCUGGUUGUAAGAAAAAAUUGGGUUAAUACUUUAACCCCUGAGAGGUCUGGGUUAUUUUAUUCAUGCCUUAGACACAUUAUAAUUUUUGUUAUGAUAGCGAUAUUCCAGAGUCAUUCAUUCAUCUGAAGACUUUUAGAUUUAUUCCAGUGAGAUCAAAAGGAAGACAAAUUAAACUGACAUCCAACAAAUAGCCUUGCAAAUAUGUAAAUCAAGAGAUAUGAAUCUGCAGUUAUUGAUAGGUACAAAUUACCAGUAAUUGGCCAGAAGAGGUAAGAGCUUUGUCCUGUUCCACUCACUCUUUCUCAAAAUUCAGAGGACAAAAUUCAAUUAAUCAAAAAACUUGAAAACUCCUAAGUACUCAUCAGUUUCUUUCAUUUAUUCUAAGCAUUAUUACAGACAAGUUUCAUUACUCACUUUGAUUUAAAAAAAAUUGCAUAUUACAACCAUUAAAUUUGUCUGAAAAUAAGUAAGAACAGUUAGCAUUAAAAAAUCUGGUUUAGACCACUUACCACCUCAGCUGUAUGGACUGGUAAGUUUUGAAUUUGAGUCAGAGAAGUGUUGCAAGUGAACCAGUUGAGGUUUGAUCAUGUGAUUAAGAAAAAAAAAAAAGAAAGAAAAAAAAAUACUC
rnacentral:lncRNA from 1 species